CAGCCCCUCAUUUUAUAUUUAAAAUGCAGUAAUGGUGAUAAAGAGGUCUUCAGUUUCUUAGUUAACUUUUAAUCUUGCUAAAUUAUAUGUUGUGUAUUAAGGUAGAAAAAGAGACAGGGAGAGAAAGAGAAAAAACAUCGGAGUGUAAGAUAUCCUCCCCUUGAUGCACAUAUUAACAUUUCUUGCUCAUUUAUCCAUGGAAUAUUCUGAUUUUGGACUUUUUCCACAUCCUAAAUUUAGAAAGCUAGAAUUAUCUUUUAAGCACCACUUUAAGCAACCUUUUUGAAAGGAAGAAUGCCAACAAGGGGGAAAUCUAUAUUUCCUCGUGGUUGGAAUGCAAUAUCUCUAACACAGUCAUUCAGCAGAGAAGUCUUAUUACAUGCUGAUGUUACAGCAAGGACAGUAAUCCAGAAAAUUCAUUACAAGUGUGCAAGAGUGAAAACUUCUACAUUAAGACCAAGAAACAUGAGAAACACAGACUGCUGCCAGGCAAUGAAUUAUAGGCAUCCCCUCUUUGUGUGUUCAGGGAGCCAUGCACAUUGAAUUGAAUAAUUGGCUUUAAUGUACCAGGGGAGAUUUCAUUAUUUAAAGAAAUUCUAUGUUGAGUCUUUUUAUAGCUAAAGCAUUCUUUUUUUUUUUUUUUGGUGGGGGUCGUGCUGGGAACUGAACCCAAAUCAAGUCCUCAUGCAUGCUAGGCUCUAACACUG
rnacentral:lncRNA from 1 species